rnacentral:rRNA from 1 species
UACGGAGGGGGCAAGCGUUGUUCGGAGUUACUGGGCGUAAAGCGCGCGUAGGCGGUGCGGUAAGUCAGGGGUUAAAGGCUGCAGCUCAACUGCAGUAAGGCCUUUGAUACUAUCGCGCUAGAGUACCAGAGAGGAUGGCGGAAUUCCCGGUGUAGCGGUGAAAUGCGUAGAGAUCAGGAGGAACACCGAUGGCGAAGGCAGCCCCCUGGGCCUGUACUGACGCUCAUGUGCGAAAGCUGGGGUAGCGAACCGG